UUCCCCGUGGCUUAGCUGGCUAUACCGUCCGACUGUUACUGUCUCUUACGAGACUGUAGUUCAAUUGGAAGGUCGAAAGUUCGAGCCUCUCUGCGCAGC